AUACUAAUUGGAUGACGUCCUUGACCAAUUUGAAAAGUCUUGAUAUCAAUUGGUGCAUUCAGCUAGAGUGUUUGCCACCUUUGGGGAAGUUGCCGUUACUCAAAGAAUUAAAUAUACGGCGUGUAGAAAAUGUGAAAAAGUUGGGAGAUGAAUUUUUAGGAAUAGAAUCCGAAAACAAAAGCAAGAAAGACGACUGCCACAUCAUAAAUAUAUUCCCAAACCUGAGAGUUCUCGAAAUUAUUUAUUUGCCGAGCUGGGAAGAAUGGAUUGGGAUGGGUGGAAAGAGGUUAGAAGUGGAAGAAGAAAAAGAUAGUGGUUUGGUUUCAGAUCCAAUGAUAAAAAUAAUGCCACGGCUUGAAAGCCUGACAAUUCAGGGCUGCCACAAAUUAAAGUGUCUGCCAGACUACUUGCGUACUACUCCAUUACAGAAAUUAUUCAUUCAUUACUGUCCAAUUCUCAAGCAACGUUGCGAAAGAGAGAUAGGAGAUUACUGGCCCAUUAUUUCUCACAUCCCAACAAUCGACAUACGGUAAAGUAACGAUCAACCCCAGUUUGAUUCAAACAAUCUGUCAGAGCCAUUAGUAUGAGGAUGAUGGGGCUGGUAUGAGGCGGAUGAACAAGUGGAAGUAGACAUUGAUGAGGGGGAUUCGUGAAGUGGACAGAUACAUAUUAUGAGAUUGGGUAGUAAGAGCAGGCAAGGGGUCAUGAAUUUUAGCUACAAGUAGAGUUUUUUUUUGAAUGAUGGUACUGAUAGAGAAGAGGAAUAUAAAAUUGAAGCUUGGGGUGGCCUUAAAUCUCCCUUUUGCAACAUUAUAUUUACUCUAACGUUAGAGCCAAAAGGGUCAAUUCCUCCCUAGCCUCACA